AACGGCAGCGCGGGGCAACCUGGCGGCGAGUGGCGAACGGGUGAGUAAUAUAUCGGAACGUACCCUGGAGUGGGGGAUAACGUAGCGAAAGUUACGCUAAUACCGCAUACGAUCUAAGGAUGAAAGUGGGGGCUUCGCAAGAACCUCAUGCUCCUGGAGCGGCCGAUAUCUGAUUAGCUAGUUGGUGGGGUAAAGGCUCACCAAGGCUUCGAUCAGUAGCUGGUCUGAGAGGACGACCAGCCACACUGGAACUGAGACACGGUCCAGACUCC
rnacentral:rRNA from 1 species